rnacentral:rRNA from 1 species
AGUGAACGCUGGCGGUAGGCCUAACACAUGCAAGUCGAACGGCAGCACAGUAAGAGCUUGCUCUUACGGGUGGCGAGUGGCGGACGGGUGAGGAAUACAUCGGAAUCUACUUUUUCGUGGGUGAUAACGUAGGGAAACUUACGCUAAUACCGCAUACGACCUACGGGUGAAAGCAGGGGAUCUUCGGACCUUGCGCGAUUGAAUGAGCCGAUGUCGGAUUAGCUAGUUGGCGGGGUAAAGGCCCACCAAGGCGACGAUCCGUAGCUGGUCUGAGAGGAUGAUCAGCCACACUGGAACUGAGACACGGUCCAGACUCCUACGGGAGGCAGCAGUGGGGAAUAUUGGACAAUGGGCGCAAGCCUGACCCAGCCAUACCGCGUGGGUGAAGAAGGCCUUCGGGUUGUAAAGCCCUUUUGUUGGGAAAGAAAAGCAGCAGGUUAAUACCCCGCUGUUCUGACGGUACCCAAAGAAUAAGCACCGGCUAACUUCGUG